rnacentral:rRNA from 1 species
UACAGAGGCCUCGAGCGUUAGGCGGAAUCACUGGGCUUAAAGCGUGUGUAGGCGGGUCGUUAAGUACCUUGUGAAAUCCCACGGCUCAACCGUGGAACUGCUUGGUAUACUGGCGAUCUUGUGCCACCUAGGGGCGAGCGGAACAGAUGGUGGAGCGGUGAAAUGCGUAGAUAUCAUCUGGAACGCCAAUGGUGAAAACAGCUCGCUGGGGGUGUGCAGACGCUGAGACACGAAAGCCAGGGGAGCGAACGGG